UUUAGAAACAAAAACUUUCAGAUGUAGAACAAAUGAGCUUGUCGUGUUGAGUAGCCAGAAUAUUUUCUUUAAGGGAAUUAGAUAUGAGGUUGCAACAGAAUACAACUAUUGGGUACAUUGGGUGGAGCAGUCUCUAAGGACAUCAUUGAUGAAUUCUUGGAAGAUAACAGGGACAUUGCAUAGGCCAAAGGGCAUGACAGUAUAUUUGUAGAGCCUGCUAAAGUAUUAAAGGCCAUCUUCCAAUUAUGACCCUGUUUAAGCCUCACCAGGUUGUAGACUCCUCUGAGAUCCAGUUUGCUAAAAUUUUUG